UAGCGAUGGGGGACAAUAAAAAAAAUGGUAAUAAUUUAUUCACGUUGAAAGAUACAGAGGAUAUUUGGUGGCAUUCGAAUAUGUUCAACAUUGGUGCACAGACGUGUUUAGUGUUUAAAACAUACAAGUGUCUAGAAAUCAGUGUUAAGUGUACAAAUGUAAGAAAUUGGUAUUUUUCAGACAAAGAUAUUGCCACAAAAGCUGCUGGGAAAAUUUGACGACAGAAACAGAAGAAAUGGAGAUAAUGGUAAUUUAUUGGGACGACAGUGAUUAUGUGUUGCAACAGAACCGUCGAAAUUUCACAAUUAUUAUGAAUUUAACACAAGAUUUGUAAUAGAACAAUUAUUAUAAUCAGCCAGGGGGCAAACGAGUGGCUAGAUCACCGAGAUUGUCAACGACGCCCAUGGACAUCCGCAACACUAAAGGAACUACAGAUGCGUUGCCGGCCUUUGAGAAAAU